GAUGAACGCUGGCGGCGUGCCUAAUACAUGCAAGUCGAGCGAACAGACGAGGAGCUUGCUCCUCUGAUGUUAGCGGCGGACGGGUGAGUAACACGUGGAUAACCUACCUAUAAGACUGGGAUAACUUCGGGAAACCGGAGCUAAUACCGGAUAACAUGUUGAACCGCAUGGUUCAACAGUGAAAGACGGUCUUGCUGUCACUUAUAGAUGGAUCCGCGCCGCAUUAGCUAGUUGGUAAGGUAACGGCUUACCAAGGCAACGAUGCGUAGCCGACCUGAGAGGGUGAUCGGCCACACUGGAGCUGAGACACGGUCCAGACUCCUACGGGAGGCAGCAGUAGGGAAUCUUCCGCAAUGGUCGAAAGCCUUACGGAGCAACGCCGCGCGAGUGAAGAAGGUCUUCGGAUCGUAAAACUCUGUUAUUAGGGAAGAACAAAUGUGUAAGUAACUAUGCACGUCUUGACGGUACCUAAUCAGAAAGCCACGGCUAACUACGUG
rnacentral:rRNA from 1 species